rnacentral:rRNA from 1 species
UAUUUCGUGCAUGGAUAAUAGAAUAUGAUCUCGGUUCUAUUUUGUUGGUUUUCAGAACUCCGAGGUAAUGAUUAAUAGGGAUAACUGGGGGCAUUCGUAUUGCGACGUUAGAGGUGAAAUUCUUGGAUCGUCGCAAGACGAACAUCAGCGAAAGCAUUUGCCAAAGGUGUUUUCAUCAAUCAAGAACGAAAGUUAGAGGUUCGAAGGCGAUUAGAUACCGCCCUAGUUCUAACCGUAAAUAUGUCAUCUAGCGAUCGCCGACGUUACUACAAUGGCUCGGCGGGCAGCUUCCGGGAAACC